GAUGAACGCUGGCGGCGUGCUUAACACAUGCAAGUCGAACGGUGAAGGCGGAGCUUGCUCUGCUGGAUCAGUGGCGAACGGGUGAGUAACACGUGAGCAAUCUGCCCCUGACUCUGGGAUAAGCGCUGGAAACGGCGUCUAAGACUGGAUACGAGCUGCGAAGGCAUCUUCAGCAGCUGGAAAGAAUUUCGGUCAGGGAUGAGCGCGCGGCCUAUCAGCUUGUUGGUGAGGUAAUGGUUCACCAAGGCGUCGACGGGUAGCCGGCCUGAGAGGGUGACCGGCCACACUGGGACUGAGACACGGCCCAGACGCCUACGGGAGGCAGCAGUGGGGAAUAUUGCACAAUGGGCGAAAGCCUGAUGCAGCAACGCCGCGUGAGGGACGACGGCCUUCGGGUUGUAAACCUCUUUUAGCAGGGAAGAAGCGAAAGUGACGGUACCUGCAGAAAAAGCGCCGGCUAACUACGUG
rnacentral:rRNA from 1 species